CAGCGGAGGCAGCCAGCGAGCGAGCUGAGGAGGAAAGUCACUUGAUAAAUGAUCAAAUGUAGUAUGUUAUUAAGUCGUUCUUUUGGGGCCAUUCAUGAGUGCCUUGAAGACCACAAUCAUUUCCGGGCUCCCAGUGGGGAGCCGUGUCUCCAUGAGGCAGGUAGAGAACCAACCUGAAGACCAUCCCACCACACACAAGGCCAACCCCCUGCCAUAAAACCUAACAGAGACGAAAGAUUAAGAAAUGAUGUCACAGCCACAAGACACCACACCUAUGAAACACAACGUUUCAAAGAAUUAUUCCCACUUGUCUGUAACUGUGCACGUGUUAAACCACAAAAGAAAACAGAAACUAGAGCCACUUCUACUCACACUUGAAGUUCACAAAUAGUGUCAAGUUAAUUUUUUUGUGCUUCAGAUUGCUUUUGCUAAAGAGUGCUCUUUUUUCUUUUACUUUCUCUUUUCUUUUUACUUAUUACGAAUUACAGCGUAUAUUCCUAGGAAUGUAAUGUCUAG
rnacentral:lncRNA from 1 species